GGGGGAAUCUUAGACAAUGGGCGCAAGCCUGAUCUAGCCAUGCCGCGUGAGUGAUGAAGGCCCUAGGGUCGUAAAGCUCUUUCGCCAGGGAUGAUAAUGACAGUACCUGGUAAAGAAACCCCGGCUAACUCCGUGCCAGCAGCCGCGGUAAUACGGAGGGGGUUAGCGUUGUUCGGAAUUACUGGGCGUAAAGCGCGCGUAGGCGGACCAGAAAGUUGGGGGUGAAAUCCCGGGGCUCAACCCCGGAACGGCCUCCAAAACUCCUGGUCUUGAGUUCGAGAGAGGUGAGUGGAAUUCCGAGUGUAGAGGUGAAAUUCGUAGAUAUUCGGAGGAACACCAGUGGCGAAGGCGGCUCACUGGCUCGAUACUGACGCUGAGGUGCGAAAGUGUGGGGAGCAAACAGGAUUAGAUACCCUGGUAGUCCACACCGUAAACGAUGAAUGCCAGUCGUCGGGUAGCAUGCUGCUCGGUGACACACCUAACGGAUUAAGCAUUCCGCCUGGGGAGUACGGUCGCAAGAUUA
rnacentral:rRNA from 1 species